rnacentral:snoRNA from 1 species
AAGCAUAUCAGUAGACCUCACCUUGCUCUGCCUUGGUUUGGUGAGGGGGACAUAAUAUGCGAGAGGAGCUAUGGAGUGACUGCCAGAUAACAGCCAGGAGAAUCGGUGUUUGGCUGAACUGACGGACUCCCACAAGA